CGACACUCACACUACGACAGCAUAGGAUUAUAUAUGCAAUGCAAGCAGCGGAACAUAGGAUUCGGGUGCAUGCAUGCACCAUCUGUCAAGCAGUGCCACUGUCAUGCAUCAUGCAUGACGCCACGGUCGCACCAGGUCAGGUCUUGUUGUGCUGCCUGGCAUCUACUAGCUAGCAGUAGACAUCCCAUCGAUGACCAUCUGUCGAGCCAGGCAUAUGGUAACGACGCAGCAAGAGACUGGCCGGCGUACCAGAUCGAGCAGCAGGGAGUAUGUUCGUUACAGGUUACUGACCUCGCCUCGGACGACGAUGGAGGU
rnacentral:misc_RNA from 1 species